CAGACAGCGAUGUCUCACCUUCCAUGCUUGUUGCCAUGGAGAUGAAGUCCAGCCAGUAGAAUUAAGUGUUGGCACGUUUGUCUGUGUUCGCUGAUCGGUUCAGUAACAAAUGUAGAAGGCGUGUUCUGGAACCUGCGUAGAGUCACAGGGCCCUGGUUAGCGCUUUCCUGGCCUAGAAGUGUAAAUGUCUGUGUCUGUUGGUGAGACAGAGGACGUGGGCGCCCGCCGAGCGCCUAGGCGCUGUCCGUAGUGCUGAAAUGGUGCGUGGUGAGACCUGUCUCCCCAACACAAGCUAGAAGACAACAAAAUAGCAGCCAGGAAACGCUCUGAUAAAGCUCUAGAUAGCUGCCAGUGAUGCCAGAGAUUACUAGUUUUGGGACCAAUUAAAGUAGCAAGAUGCAGCCAGGA
rnacentral:lncRNA from 1 species